AGUACAUUGUAUUAUCAGACUGUAUCGAAAACCAGAGACUGAAAAGGAGAAUACAGAGAACAAAAAAAAGAGUGAAAAAUUAGAGAAAAAGAAAACAUCAAAAAAUAUAGAGAGAAAAAGAAAAAGCAUUGAAUCUGAGUUUCGUUCGAGUUUCGAUUCCGAUGACGAAUUCUUGUUUCAUCACAGGAGACCAUCGAUGAUGCAGAUGACAAGCUGGAAGACACAGUAUUGCUGUUGCUCAACCGUGAGACAAGACCCAAUUCAGUAUAUUAAGGGAAAUAAGGGUAACAAUAUUCAAAGAAAGGCUUUGGAAAAAAAAAAAAAAAAAAAAGAGCUCAUCCUUAUAUAUCGUCCAAAAUCUAUUAAAAAGCUCACUGGAUAUAAUAACACCACCCAACAAAACUGCAAGGGGUGCACGACGACGACGAUAAUGAUCAGUUGAGACAAUGAAUCUAGCUGUUAGGAGUUGUCGAGGAGCACACAAAGUUGAAUUUAGACGUAAUUUUAGGUCAUUGAUAGAUUGUUAUAGACCAUGCUUGGUUGUAAUUCUCGAAAUCAAUAUGAAUGAUCAUCAAGUAUAAUACUAUUAGAUGAUUUCCCGUUUACUGAUAUGAUUCAAGUUCCCCCUGAAGGAAACUCUGGUGGCAUUGUGAUUUUGUGGGACAUCCAUUUUUUAGAGGUCAAUUAGAUUGCAGUUGCAGGUCAAAAAGUUCAUGAGGUACGUGCAAAUAACGAUUCUUGGCUUUUAAAUUAUAUAUCUAUGCUAGCACUAAGGGCCCAUUUGGUACAAGUGAUAAUUUUAGUUUCCUUAGAAAUUACAGUGAAUUCAAAAGCUGAUUUAGUUACUGAUUGCAGAAAAGUCCAAAAGAAAACUCAUUAUUAUUGGAUAAAUGCAUAUUGAUGCUUAUUAUACUCUGCCUUUAAUGAAUCCCAGAGUUUCAUUCUUAACAUGCUCCAUGAAUUUCUUUAUUUGCCACCUUGUUAUAUAUGUUGUGAAAGGCUCUCUCUUUCAAGUUCUUCGAAGAGUUUCUCAAAAUUCAAAAACAUAUCAUUUCUUCCAUUGUCAUAACUAUUUAGCGCUUGACCGGAGGGUCUUUUGCAUAAACUCUACCCUCCAUAGAUCCCGCUUGUGGAGAUUGAAAAAUUCACUGGGUAUGUCGUUCUAGAAACAGUGAAAUAAAGUGGGAGAUAAAUUUGUUUCCAAACUUAUGAAUGGUGUGAUUUUGUCAAUAUACCAUGCUUCAUUGUUUCCCUAUUGGUGAAAUAAAACUUUAUAACUGUAUUUGUCAGCAUGUAUCGUAGGUUCGACUGAUGGUUAUAUAGUUGAAUAAGAAUACAGAGAGUUGUAGACACAUAAAUUCAAACAUGUACCCUCAGUCACACUGAUAAUAAUCAAGAG